rnacentral:piRNA from 1 species
UAUGUUUUAGUUGAGAAUGCGAUUGGUGGU